CUGAAACACCAGUACCAUUACGAUCACCGAAGUUAAGCAACUUCGAAACUGGUCAGUACCGAGAUGGGUGACCGCUUGGAAAUACCAGGUGCUGUAAG